rnacentral:tRNA from 1 species
GCCUACUUAGCUCAGUCGGUUAGAGCAUCUGACUGUUAAUCAGAGGGUCGCCUGUUCGAGUCAGGCAGUGGGCGCCA